rnacentral:rRNA from 1 species
GACGAACGCUGGCGGCGUGCCUAAUACGUGCAAGUAGAACGCUGAAGAGAGGAGCUUGCUCUUCUUGGAAGAGUUGCGAACGGGUGAGUAACGCGUAGGUAACCUGCCUUGUAGCGGGGGAUAACUAUUGGAAACGAUAGCUAAUACCGCAUAACAAUGGGUGACCCAUGUCAUUCAUUUGAAAGGGGCAACUGCUCCACUACAAGAUGGACCUGCGUUGUAUUAGCUAGUAGGUGAGGUAACGGCUCACCUAGGCGACGAUACAUAGCCGACCUGAGAGGGUGAUCGGCCACACUGGGACUGAGACACGGCCCAGACUCCUACGGGAGGCAGCAGUAGGGAAUCUUCGGCAAUGGGGGCAACCCUGACCGAGCAACGCCGCGUGAGUGAAGAAGGUUUUCGGAUCGUAAAGCUCUGUUGUAAGUCAAGAACGAGUGUGAGAGUGGAAAGUUCACACUGUGACGGUAGCUUACCAGAAAGGGACGGCUAACUACGUGCCAGCAGCCGCGGUAAUACGUAGGUCCCGAGCGUUGUCCGGAUUUAUUGGGCGUAAAGCGAGCGCAGGCGGUUUGAUAAGUCUGAAGUUAAAGGCUGUGGCUCAACCAUAGUUCGCUUUGGAAACUGUCAAACUUGAGUGCAGAAGGGGAGAGUGGAAUUCCAUGUGUAGCGGUGAAAUGCGUAGAUAUAUGGAGGAACACCGGUGGCGAAAGCGGCUCUCUGGUCUGUAACUGACGCUGAGGCUCGAAAGCGUGGGGAGCGAACAGG